rnacentral:tRNA from 1 species
GCCUGGGUGGCUCAGUCGGUUAAGCGUCCGACUCUUGAUCUUGGCUCGGGUCACGAUCUUGUGCUUCGUGGGUUCGAGCCCCACAUCAGGCU